rnacentral:misc_RNA from 1 species
ACCGCGGCAAGCAGGCCUAUUUCAAAUCCUUCGGCAAGAUCGACGUGACGACCGGCGAGCCGAUGACACCGGACGCGAUCUUCCGGAUUUUCUCGAUGACCAAGCCGAUCACGAGCGUUGCCGCCAUGCUGCUNNNNNNGCUCAAGCUCGACGAUCCGGUGUCGAAAUACAUUCCCUCAUUCGCCAAUACGCAGGUUGGCAUCGAG